GCCUCGGUAGCUCAGCUGGUUAGAGCGUUGCCUUGGUAAGGCAAAGGUCGAGGGUUCAAAUCCCUCCCGAGGCU
rnacentral:tRNA from 1 species